UAACGCACCUCUCAACUCUGCAACUGGUUCUACUGACCCUGCUAAGAAGGUUCUUAGUGCUAAAGAUUAUA
rnacentral:SRP_RNA from 1 species